GACGAACGCUGGCGGCGUGCUUAACACAUGCAAGUCGAACGAUGAAGCCUUCGGGUGGAUUAGUGGCGAACGGGUGAGUAACACGGGGGUGAUCUGCCCUGCACUUUGGGAUAACCCCGGGAAACCGGGGCUAAUACCGGGUAUGACCCUGCCGGGCAUCUGGUGGGGGGGAAAGCUUUUGCGGUCAGGGAUGGGCGCGCGGCCUAUCAGCUUUUUGGUGGGGUGAUGGCCUACCAAGGCGAUGACGGGUAGCCGGCCUGAGAGGGCGACCGGCCACACUGGGACUGAGACACGGCCCAGACUCCUACGGGAGGCAGCAGUGGGGAAUAUUGCACAAUGGGCGGAAGCCUGAUGCAGCGACGCCGCGUGAGGGAUGACGGCCUUCGGGUUGUAAACCUCUUUCGACAGGGACGAAGCGUGAGUGACGGUACCUGGAGAAGAAGCGCCGGCCAACUACGUGCCAGCCGCCGCCGUAA
rnacentral:rRNA from 1 species